CAGAAAUUUUGGCUUUUGGUGUCGGCUGUCACAGCAGAUGAUGUAAUAGCGGAUUAAAUAGAAAGGGUGACAUGCUUUGCACAGCUUCGUUAUUUUUUUGAAGCCACCACAAUUAUGGUAUAUUACCUACAGAGUGGUCCGAAUACAUGCUACAUUUUACUCUUUUGGAGCUCUCAGCAAAUGUGCCAUAUCACAAGCGACCAGCGAAAUGUCACAGAAUGCUUGUGCGCAUGCUUUGAAAUGUUUUAGCAUGGUGACACGUGCUAACACAUUUGUCCCCCCCUGCAAUUUCAGUCUGCCAAAAUCAGCAUGGGCGACUCUACCAAGGCCUAGUGUGGUGCAGCUGCAGCAUAUGCUACCCCAAAGGCAAGAGCAGCUCCUAUUCUGUAUUCUGCCGCCGCUUCGCUUUACAGCUAGUUGGAGCACACAACUCUCAUCACAAUACUCCCUCUUAUCCAUCACUGUCCAGUGCUCUUCAACCCCAGCUGGGUCGUUGUGAACUUCUUGCAGCGGGGUCUCUCGCAGUGGACACUCGUCAAGUGAAGAGAUGCAACUGCCAGGAUUGUGUACUUGUUUCAGCGGAGUGUUGUUUCUCACCUAACCAAGCCCCACUAUUUUUUGCCUGUGCAGUACAAUCUGCUCAGUUUCCAACAUUAUCACAAAAAUGUUCCCAUUGUAAGACGUUUCUGUCCAUUCCAUAGCAGUCCCCAUUGCAAACAUGUUUGAAAUCUCCCCAUUGCAGCAAACAUGUUUAAAUGUCCUCUUGUCUUGUAAAAAGAAAAAAAAAAGGAGAUGAAGAAAAAAAAAUUUUUAGGUGCUGUACAGCAACACAUCAAGCAGCCACUUUGUAAUGGGCAAUUACUUGUGCAUUCUAGUCUGGUGGCUUUUAGCACACAUCUCAGUAAACAGCAUGGAGUUUCACUUUUUUUUUUCUUUCAUCUCUGCUUCUGUGGCAAGUUUCGUAGUUUUUUUGGGCUCCCAGCUGAUAAAAAGUGGCCUGCACUCUGAAUAUGCCAAAAGUGUGUGCACCUAAUCCCAUUGAUAGCAUGCCUAUGCUUUAGAAUGAAUGGCAAGUGUUGUGAGUAUAUAGUUACAACGUGGAAAUAUUUAUUUGUACAUAUGCGACAGUUGGUGUGUUGCUGCUGUGUGCAAAGAUAGUAAAAAUACAGUUGUCAAAA